CUAGCGUUGCUCGGAAUCACUGGGCUUAAAGCGCACGUAGGCGGCUUUCUAAGUCAGGGGUGAAAUCCUGGAGCUCAACUCCAGAACUGCCUUUGAUACUGGAGAGCUUGAGUCCGGAAGAGGUGAGUGGAACUCCGAGUGUAGAGGUGAAAUUCGUAGAUAUUCGGAAGAACACCAGUGGCGAAGGCGGCUCACUGGUCCGGUACUGACGCUGAGGUGCGAAAGCGUGGGGAGCAAACAGG
rnacentral:rRNA from 1 species